GAUGAAGAACGUAGCGAAAUGCGAUAAGUAAUGUGAAUUGCAGAAUCCAGUGAAUCAUCGAAUCUUUGAACGCACAUUGCGCCCGCCAGCAUUCUGGCGGGCAUGCCUGUUCGAGCGUCAUUUCAACCCUCGACCUCCCUUUGGGGAAGUCGGCGUUGGGGACCGGCAGCACACCGCCGGCCCUGAAAUGGAGUGGCGGCCCGUCCGCGGCGACCUCUGCGUAGUAAUCCAACUAGCACCGGAACCCCGACGCGGCCACGCCGUAAAACACCCAACUUCUGAACGUUGACCUCGAAUCAGGUAGGACUACCCGCUGAACUUAAGCAUAUCAAUAAGCGGAGGA
rnacentral:misc_RNA from 1 species